UACGGAGGGGGCUAGCGUUGUUCGGAAUUACUGGGCGUAAAGCGCACGUAGGCGGACUGUUAAGUCGGGGGUGAAAUCCUGGGGCUCAACCUCAGAAUUGCCUCCGAUACUGGCAGUCUCGAGUGCGGGAGAGGUGAGUGGAAUUCCCAGUGUAGAGGUGAAAAUUCGUAGAUAUUGGGAAGAACACCAGUGGCGAAGGCGGCUCACUGGCCCGUAACUGACCGCUGAGGU
rnacentral:rRNA from 1 species